rnacentral:tRNA from 1 species
GCAUCGGUGACUUAAUGGUAGAAUUUUGACCUUCCGUGUGGAAGACCUGGGUUCGAUUCCUGGCUAGUGCA